rnacentral:rRNA from 1 species
UACGAAGGGGGCUAGCGUUGUUCGGAAUAACUGGGCGUAAAGCGCACGUAGGCGGAAUGUUAAGUGAGGGGGUGAAAAUCCCGGGGGCUCAACCCCGGAACUGCCUUUCAUACUGGCAAUCUAGAGAUCGAGAGAGGUGAGUGGAAUUCCGAGUGUAGAGGUGAAAUUCGUAGAUAUUCGGAGGAACACCAGUGGCGAAGGCGGCUCACUGGCUCGAUACUGACGCUGAGGUGCGAAAGCGUGGGGAGCAAACAGGAUUAGAUACCCCCGGGUAGUCC